rnacentral:rRNA from 1 species
CGAGCGGAUCGAUAUGGAGCUUGCUCCUGGAUUCAGCGGCGGACGGGUGAGUAAUGCCUAGGAAUCUGCCUGGUAGUGGGGGACAACGUUUCGAAAGGAACGCUAAUACCGCAUACGUCCUACGGGAGAAAGCAGGGGACCUUCGGGCCUUGCGCUAUCAGAUGAGCCUAGGUCGGAUUAUCUAGUUGGUGAGGUAAUGGCUCACCAAGGCGACGAUCCGUAACUGGUCUGAGAGGAUGAUCAGUCACACUGGAACUGAGACACGGUCCAGACUCCUACGGGAGGCAGCAGUGGGGAAUAUUGGACAAUGGGCGAAAGCCUGAUCCAGCCAUGCCGCGUGUGUGAAGAAGGUCUUCGGAUUGUAAAGCACUUUAAGUUGGGAGGAAGGGUUGUAGAUUAAUACUCUGCAAUUUUGACGUUACCGACAGAAUAAGCACCGGCUAACUCUGUGCCAGCAGCCGCGGUAAUACAGAGGGUGCAAGCGUUAAUCGGAAUUACUGGGCGUAAAGCGCGCGUAGGUGGUUUGUUAAGUUGGAUGUGAAAUCCCCGGGCUCAACCUGGGAACUGCAUCCAAAACUGGCAAGCUAGAGUAUGGUAGAGGGUGGUGGAAUUUCCUGUGUAGCGGUGAAAUGCGUAGAUAUAGGAAGGAACACCAGUGGCGAAGGCGACCACCUGGACUGAUACUGACACUGAGGUGCGAAAGCGUGGGGAGCAAACAGGAUUAGAUA